UGGGGAAUUUUGGACAAUGGGGGAAACCCUGAUCCAGCCAUCCCGCGUGUGCGAUGAAGGCCUUCGGGUUGUAAAGCACUUUUGGCAGGAAAGAAACGUCAUGGGUUAAUACCCCGUGAAACUGACGGUACCUGCAGAAUAAGCACCGGCUAACUACGUGCCAGCAGCCGCGGUAAUACGUAGGGUGCAAGCGUUAAUCGGAAUUACUGGGCGUAAAGCGUGCGCAGGCGGUUCGGAAAGAAAGAUGUGAAAUCCCAGAGCUCAACUUUGGAACUGCAUUUUUAACUACCGGGCUAGAGUGUGUCAGAGGGAGGUGGAAUUCCGCGUGUAGCAGUGAAAUGCGUAGAUAUGCGGAGGAACACCGAUGGCGAAGGCAGCCUCCUGAUAACACUGACGCUCAUGCACGAAAGCGUGGGGAGCAAACAGG
rnacentral:rRNA from 1 species